UACGGAGGGUGCGAGCGUUGUUCGGAAUUACUGGGCGUAAAGCGCGUGUAGGCGGCCUUUUAAGUCUGGUGUGAAAGCCCGGGGCUCACCCCCGGAAGUGCACUGGAUACUGAGAGGCUCGAGUACCGGAGAGGAGGGUGGAAGUCCUGGUGUAGCGGUGAAAUGCGUAGAUAUCAGGAGGAACACCGGUGGCGAAGGCGGCCCUCUGGACGGAUACUGACGCUGAGACGCGACAGCGUGGGGAGCAAACAGG
rnacentral:rRNA from 1 species